rnacentral:rRNA from 1 species
AGCGAACGCUGGCGGCAGGCCUAACACAUGCAAGUCGAACGAACCUUUCGGGGUUAGUGGCGGACGGGUGAGUAACACGUGGGAACGUGCCUUUAGGUUCGGAAUAACUCAGGGAAACUUGUGCUAAUACCGAAUGUGCCCUUCGGGGGAAAGAUUAAUCGCCUUUAGAGCGGCCCGCGUCUGUUUAGCUAGUUGGUUGAGGUAAUGGCUCACCAGGGCGACGAUCAGUAGCUGGUCUGAGAGGAUGAUCAGCCACAUUGGGACUGAGACACGGCCCAAACUCCUACGGGAGGCAGCAGUGGGGAAUCUUGCGCAAUGGGCGAAAGCCUGACGCAGCCAUGCCGCGUGAAUGAUGAAGGUCUUAGGAUUGUAAAAUUCUUUCACCGGGGACGAUAAUGACGGUACCCGGAGAAGAAGCCCCGGCUAACUUCGUG